CGGACUCGUUGUGAUUCUGAAGUUUAUUUUCUUUCAUGCACUGGGAUGUUUUAAUAACAGGCUCGAUGUGAGCCUCGUUGCCUGGCAACCGCCUGCUGUCAACAUGCAUACCGUGUUACCGUGGGAACAGGAUGACUGGUGGGAAGAGUGGGACACAAAGCUGCGUUCCAACAAACAGUGUUCAGCUGACAUCUGGGGUCAACAUCAUGAGAUCCAACAGGAACCUGAUGCUGCAGUUCCGUCCGCCCUGCUGCCGUACCUGGGAGAAAGUCAGGAGGGUUUUGGUUAGCCGUCCCGGGACAUUUUGGACCGUUCGUUGAUCGAGGACUUCCAUCGGCGACGAGGCUCCAGUGCUCGUAGCUGUAUUGUUUUCUGCCCCUCUCCCUGUGCUCAGUUUCCCAAGGAUUUCCCUUUGAGUUUCAUCCACCCUGGGUCUCAGCGGUCGUGUUAGUGGAUGCUCAGCCUCUCACUCAGAAGGAAGCAUUAAGUGCUCCAAAAUUUCUUGGUAAACGAGUGCAGUGACUUUGGUUUUCAAAAAACACAAUGGACCAACACCAGCAGAUGACAUUGCCCCCCAAAUCAUCACAGACUGUGGAAACUUAACACUGGACUUCAAGCAACUAUGAGCUUC
ensembl:lncRNA